UCGUCAUUCUUAUACGUGAUGCUGUAGUUAACUUCACUGGGGAUAUUUUGUGGACACUUGCUUGAAUAUUUCUGCAGAAUUGAUUCCUGGAAGUCAAAGAGCAGACAACUUUGGGAAGGCUCAGAGGACCUAGAUGUUGGUAUUUUCACUCUGUCUUGGCUUUCACUGUUCUGUAUCACCAACUAUGCCUCUAGGCAACAAUGGUGCCCAAGCCGAAAGGCAGAUGCAGUCUAGCUGGUGCAGAGUCGGUGGAUAAGGGCAGGAGAACAGAACUUGUUGUGUAAGAGGGGUUUUAUGCUGUGCUCUGCAGAGUGACUCAGCCCUCGCAUCAUUUGCUACUCACCCUGUCAAACUUGGCAUUCCUGCUGACUCUCGGCAUCUAUGUGUACAAUGAGACUUUUGACAACACCAGCCUAGGGUUGCUUUAAACACACCAAGGAGGUCAUGUCACAGUUAGUGAGCAUUCAUAAAUAACUUCCUAAUGAAUAAAAACAAGAGGAAGCUGAAACUCCUAUCUUGCAAAAAGGUCAGACUUGAUCUCCAUUUGGAGACAGGGAAAAUCCAUCUUUCAUUAGCCAGGCAAGCCCUGGCUCACCCAAGGCACAGUUUUAUCCAGUGGGCUGCUCACAACUACAGCCUCUCUCAGCUCCCACAGUCCCAACCCAUGCAUCUGAACUCCAACUCCUGGGAAAAUACUGGAAUAAACCCCAUCUUUUGAAGUUGUCUUCAGCUUUGAGAAAAUAUUUUCAGGACUCCAGUUGUAUUUACUGAACAUUCAUGGACCAAAUUCUGGAUGCAUCCAAUUUUCUACACCAACUGUAAUUCACCUGCUACAUGUGGACUUUUGGCUGUGCUAUAUUUUUCCUAAAUUGAAACAUUUCAUAUGCUCGAAAAUCUCCCUGGUGUUCAAAAGCAAAAUUUGUUUCUUAUAAAAUCUUGGCAUCGCUAUCAUUAAUUAACAGAGAGCAGAAUGCCUCUGUGUUUACCUUUACAAAGUGUAUCCAUGCAAUGCAUUUCUCUCCCAGAGGCAUGGUUUAUUCCUAUAGAUGAGAAAUUAGGCAUGUAUUAAAAAUAAAUGCAUGCUUUCCACCAGCGGGGAAAUUUUGAAAAGUAGACCACUGUAUUUCAUGGAAAGAUAUUGGACACAGGGGUGUGAAAAUUAAAUAGAGCUUCUCUCACUAUGAGAAAGUAAAUUAUGCUAAAUCAUUCACUUUAUCUGAAGCUCAUUUUCUGUGGCUUGAGACGAUUUGCCAAACAAUGUACAGGCUGAUCAGCCAGCCAGCCAGUAGCUAUUCAUGGGCCAGUUUUAUGGCUGAUCCAACUUGCUAGUCAUAUUGCAAGAUAGACGUGUGUGUGCGUGUGUAUACACAUACACUAUAACAAAAGGACUACAUUACUAUAACAAAAGGACUCACAUAACUUUAGGGCUUAAAGUUAGAAUUCUCUUAAAGACUAGUGCUGGAAAGUAAGAUUAUAACAAAGUUUCUCUGUGUGCUUUAAGUCAACAUACUUUCAGUUAUGGUAUACCCAAAUCCAUGAACCAUACUGUGAAAUUUGUUACAUUUCUAUACGCAUUAGAUGACUUUAAAUCAUGAUGAUUUCUAGGUACAGCCUUGAAGUCUGGAACCACAUUUUAUAUUAUUUUUGCCUUUGUGCCUUUUAUAACAAGGUUAGGGAUAUAAGUAAAACCGAUAAAUACUAGACAUUGAUAAACACUUGCUGACUUUAAUUAGAGAUGAUUUUUUCCCUCUACUAUUUAUGUUCUAUGAUAGACAAACAAAAUAAAAUGCUUGAAUUGAAAAAUGCUUCUCAGAAUCCUUCAGGUUUGUCCCUAAGAAGCAAGGGGCAUGAUAGGACUUCGAGUUGAAGGAAAAGGCCUUGCUGGCAGGUCUCUUUUCUUUCCCCCUUCUGUUGAAGUCAGGGCCAGAGCGAAACAGAGUGACGCCAUGUGUCCUGGGAGUGCUGAGUAACAUCAAUUCUAUUAAAUGGAAAAUGGGACAGAGCCCAGGCUCAGGCAGGCAGGAGGCUCACUGAGGCCUUGGCAACAAAGGACAGGCAGGAAUGGGCUUCAUGAACCAGAGUACAAGGCAGACCAGCUGCAAAAUUGAAGGUCCCGAGUCCAGGCUGACAGGUGCACACUCCCCAGCAUAUAAAGGGUCACAAGGCCCACAGUGUUCACCCCUGCUAUCACCAGCCCUCACCUAGAUCCCUGCCUGGCCUCUGUGCUAGGCCACCAUUCAUUUCUGCCCCAGUUUCCAUGUGUGUACCCCUGGCCACCUGUUCUUUUGUAUAGUAAUGUACCCCUUCCCCUCUAAGCUCAUGGCAUUUCUUCUCCUUCCUUGUUUAGAGAUGCUUAACUGCUUUUCUAGAAUCACAAGUGUCGCAGCCCUUCAAGACUGUCUUCAGCACUCACUUCUGUAAGUGCCCCCAUAGGCAACCAGAACAUCCAGCCCCAAGUGCCCAGCUUAUGUUUUGCCCUUAGCUCUGGGCAGAAAGAAUCAGACUCAGUCUCGAGACAUAAUCAGCCAAGGGCGUAGUGACGACAGGCUUGGUGCAGAGUUUUUGGAUACGCAGAGUUUCAGCCCAAAGGGAGGAAGACAGUAGGCAGAGAUUCUUAGAGCAGGCUUAGGUCAGGAAGAGGCUGUGGUCAGGGCUGGGUGAUGAGGAAAAUCGUGGGGCCCAGUAUUGAUGGCCAUAUCACUGGUCAUCAAGGCUGACUUGCCUAGUCCCAAAGGCAAGGCUGAUACAUUUCCUGCCAGGACUGAUUUUGGAACUGAGGUGGACAUGAGGUUGCAAUUGGGACUGGUUUAAAAUCCAGCCUUUAAGGAGUUAGGGAGGGCGAAGUCAGAAGACUACAGAUGGUAUGAGAAGCAAGUGAUGUGGGUGCUUCUUGGAGGAGAUGCAGACUUAAAACAUGGCUAUAGUAUAUUAAGACAGAAAACGCCUUUUAUUUCCACUAAAAGAAUUAUGUUUGAGAGAACUUCUAAGGAAGGAGAAAAAAAAAAAAAGACGGAGUAGGUAGCAAUUUGGGGUUUUUCAAACUAAACAGAAAAUGGUUAUGAUAGUAGCUAUAAACUUACAAGCCAAGAGCAUUUAUUUCUGGCAGGCAUGUGCCUCGCUGAAGGAAAAGGAAUAAAUGUCCCUUUCAGAACUCACGAGUUCCAAGUUAAAUGACAACUCUCUCAAUAGAGCAGGUGGUUCAAAGGAAAUAGUCAGGCCAGGAGAAGGCCUGCUGGUUCGAAGGGAACAUCUGAACUCCCACACCAAGAUCAAAAGAUGUCCACCCCAAAGCAUGUGUCCGUCAUUUAAUCCUCAACAUGUAAUCUGAUUUGCUGCUCUAAGUCAAUGCAGUAAUCACGGCAGCAAAGACUUAAACAUAUGCUUCAAACCUGGAUAAUUGCCCAGAAGUAAAAUGCAUUGAAGGAUCUGAUAUUCUGACAUUUAAUAAAAGUCUGAAUUAUAUUUGCCAUCUGCUGUGAUUUAAUUUUCUUGCGUUCAAUAUUUAAUAAAACAAUAGAAAAUUAUGACAAGAAUCUUGUGCUAUUCGGAAACUGCUGGAUAUGAGCCUGGUUCUGGGGUCAGACUGUAAGAGAUUAAAUCCCAUUUUAUCCACGUACUAGUUGCCUGACUAGCAAAUUACUCAACCUGUCUGUCCCUCAGUUUUUCUCACCAGCAAAACAGGAAUUAUCCCCGAAUCUACUUACCGCGGCUGUUGUGAAGAUUAAUAAACAAUUACAUACAAAUUGCUUCAAGCACUGCCUGGCUUAUAGAGAGGACUCAGCAAAAGUUAACUAAGUUUAUUAUUUUUUAAAGUGAAGUCAGGCUACUCAUUCUUCUUCUGUUUGUUUUCUUGCUUGUUUGUUUCAAAUAGCUAUAUACCAACAUCUGCACAUUUUCCCAGUUUGUUUCAAAUAGUCUUCUAAUGAACUCUUUUUAGAAAGAGAAGUGAACCAAGUAUAGAAUGCAACACAGAGUCUGCAGUGACAUUCGGUGAGAAGAUACCUCAUCAAACCUCAGCCACAGAGAAAUCUGACUUUGGAGCAUCCUUAAAACUGGCACCACAGAGUUCCCACUGUCCUUCAGUGGGUUAAGAACCCAACUAGUUCGUAGCAGAGGCUGGCCCAGAUGACUGCUACGGCAAGCCCUGGGUCCCCUGCCCUGGGAUGUGGGGAUAAGUUUGGCUGCAAACAUGUUGCCCCUGGGGGAAGAAAAAAAAAAAAGCCCCCAACUAGCAUCUGUGAGGAUGUGGGUUCCUUCCCUGGCCUCGCUCAGUGGGUUAAAGAAUUAGCAUUGCCACAAGCUGUGGCAUAGAUCACAGAUGCGGCUUGGAUCCGAUGUGGCUGUGGUGUAGGUGGGCAGCUGGAGCUCCAAUUCAACCCCUAGCGGGAGAACUCCACAUGCCACAGAGGCGAGGCUGUAAAAAGGAAAAGGAAAAAAAACGAAAACAAACAAGCCUGGCACCAGCUUCUGAAUCUGAAAAAAAUUUCCAGAAAACACAAGGAAAGAAAGAGCUGAUGAACAAGAUAAUGUAACGAUAUUGCUCAAAUCUACCUCGGCCUUCUCCGCUGUGAGCCCCAUGAUAGCAAGAACGAUGACAUGUUUACCUCUUUAUCCGCGAGGCCAGUUAAAAUUUCAAGAACCUAGAAGGCAUCUGGUGAGUAUCUGGUGAAUGCUCGUUGGUUGUUUAAAUGAAUGAAAUUAGAAAUGAGCCACAGACAUGGCACUGAGCUCAUAAUGCAUCCUUCAUGAAGGUACCCCUGUAGCAAAGUACUUGUGAAAAUAAUGCUAGUUGGGGACAAGGAUUGGGCUUCAUUUUUCAGGAAAAUUUUGCUGAGGGUUUUGUUUUUCUUCUUGGGUCUCUGAUUAUUUAGGUAAACAAGAGCACAUAAUAAGAACUCCCAUUUAUCAAGAAUUUAAAUGUGUCAGGCACUGUGUUAAACACAGUACAUUUGAUCUUAUAGGAAUUCUAGGCUAAGCUAUUACAAUUGUACUAGUUAUCCAGACUGUGAAAAUAGAGAAAAGGCUGAGUUUUUCAAAAUCACACAGCUAACAAGCAGCUGACAUAGGCCUGAAACCCAGCUUUAUGCAAUUCCUAAAGAUCCUACUUUUAACUACUGUAUUGCAUUAAAGCUUCUUAAAGUCACAAAAUAUCAGAGGCUAAGAGGAUCUUGCAUAUUUUACAGGUAGGGAAACAGGGACCAGAGGUGUGAGAUGUCCUGCCAAAUAUCACUUGAUUCAUCAAAGCAGAGCCAAGGACUACUCAGUUCUGACAAUCCAAAACAUUUUCUCUUGUACCUAAUCACUUCCUUUUUAUCAAAUGCAGCCCUGGUCUCACUUUGGUAAACCAAAGUGAGACCAAUCAAUCUCUUUACUGAAUGUUAGAAAUUCCCUUACAGAAAUGUCUUACUCUUAUUUCAAAAGCUCAAUCAAUUCUUUUGUAAUCCAAAAUAUGCACCACGAAAUAAAUUCCAUGGGUUAGUAGUCUAAGCACUCAUUUGGUCUUUUUCCUUUUUUUUCCCCCCUCUACCUUCAAAAUCACCACUCAGAGCAUGGUGCCUGACACAGAUGCCUUCCCAGGGAUUGGGACUGAUGGAGAAAAAGGAGAAAAAAGACAAGGUGCAAAUCUAUUUUCACAAUCAGAUCUCGCAUUCACCGGAUGAUUGCCAAGUAAGAGAUGAGGAUGACAACAGUUACCUGAUGAGGUCUAGCAUCUUAACUACGACGUCCAUUGUGUCCGAUCUAUUUAUUUAAGAUGCCCAUACUAUACCAACCACGUGAUGAUGAAGGCAUUGUUCACCAAACCAGGCUUUAUGACUGAUGUUAAAAAAGGUGCAUAUGUGCAAAAUGCAAACCUGACUACUUUCUUUAGUUUAAAAGGAGAUGCUAUCCCAGCAUGUACGAGGGGCUGUUUUACUCCAGCAGUGAUGGAGGUUGGAUCACAGGCCCCGCACUCACUCUCCUGUUAGAAUCAAGGGGUGUCUUCACAACGGAGGGGGGGAAGAGAAAGGAUCCAGUUUACGGAUAAAAGACAAGGGGAAAUGGACAUGGGAUUUAUAUAGUCUCUUUGAAUUCACCAGUAGAGCCCCCUGCCAAUAGUGUCCUUUGCAUAUAGCUUGCAUGGCAAAACGUUGAAUAUGGGGAAUGGGUAAAAGGGCCUAUUAUUCUUUUCCAUUUUUGGGAAUUUGAAAACUUUCACAAUAAAAGGUCUUUUUUUUUUUUUUUUCUCUUAAAGUAAUCUUUUCUUUGGGAAGAAGCUUCCCAGAGUCUUGUCUUAGUGACGAUGCUCACCUAGGAAGCAGGGAUUAGUAGAGUGCAUUGGACUUGAACUCAGAAGUCCAUGACCUCUAGCAGUCCAGCAACCUCUCGGGCCACAGAGCCUUAAGGAUUCAGCCUUCUCUAACUCCCGGUUUGUUUCAUAUUCUCCCCUCCAUUUGCUCCCAUCUCCCCCUGAUAGUCCUUUUUCAUACCCUUUGUCUUCUUCCCCAUUUCCCCAGGAAUACAAGAACUCCUUGAGA
rnacentral:lncRNA from 1 species